AACGAACGCUGGCGGCAUGCCUAACACAUGCAAGUCGAACGAGACCUUCGGGUCUAGUGGCGCACGGGUGCGUAACGCGUGGGAACCUGCCCUUAGGUUCGGAAUAACUCCCCGAAAGGGGUGCUAAUACCGGAUAAUGUCUUCGGACCAAAGAUUUAUGGCCUUUGGAUGGGCCCGCGUUGGAUUAGCUGGUUGGUAGGGUAAAAGCCUACCAAGGCGACGAUCCAUAGCUGGUCUGAGAGGAUGAUCAGCCACACUGGGACUGAGACACGGCCCAGACUCGUACGGGAGGCAGCAGUGGGGAAUAUUGGACGCUGGGCGAAAGCCUGAUCCAGCAAUGCCGCGUGAGUGAUGAAGGCCUUAGGGUUGUAAAGCUCUUUUAGCCGGGAUGAUAAUGACAGUACCGGGAGAAUAAGCUCCGGCUAACUCCGUG
rnacentral:rRNA from 1 species